AGCAGCCGCGGUAAUUCCAGCUCCAAUAGCGUAUAUUAAAGUUGUUGCAGUUAAAAAGCUCGUAGUUGAAUUUCGGGAUCAAUACGCCGGUCGUGCUUCGGUACGUACUAACGAUAUUGAUUUCUCCCUUCUGACGAACCGUGAUGUCAUUAAUUUGGUGUUACGGGGAGUCAGGACUGUUACUUUGAAAAAAUUAGAGUGUUUAAAGCAAGCAAUCGCUCGAAUACAUUAGCAUGGAAUAAUGAAAUAGGACGUUCGAACCUAUUUUGUUGGUUUCUAGGAUCGACGUAAUGAUUAAUAGGGAUAGUUGGGGGCAUUAGUAUUCAAUUGUCAGAGGUGAAAUUCUUGGAUUUAUUGAAGACUAACUACUGCGAAAGCAUUUGCCAAGGAUGUUUUCAUUAAUCAAGAACGAAAGUUAGGGGAUCGAAGACGAUCAGAUACCGUCGUAGUCUUAACCAUAAACUAUGCCGACUAGGGAUCGGAUGAUGUUAAUUUUUUAAUGACUCAUUCGGCGCCUUACG
rnacentral:rRNA from 1 species